rnacentral:rRNA from 1 species
UGGGGAAUAUUGGGCAAUGGGCGCAAGCCUGACCCAGCGACGCCGCGUGAGGGAUGAAGGUCUUCGGAUUGUAAACCUCUUUCAGUGGGGAAGAAGCGAAAGUGACGGUACCCAAAGAAGAAGCACCGGCUAACUAUGUGCCAGCAGCCGCGGUAAUACAUAGGGUGCAAGCGUUGUCCGGAAUUAUUGGGCGUAAAGAGCUCGUAGGUGGUUGAUCACGUCGGAUGUGAAAUUCUGAGGCUCAACCUCGGACCUGCAUUCGAUACGGGCAAACUAGAGUGUGGUAGGGGAGACUGGAAUUCCUGGUGUAGCGGUGGAAUGCGCAGAUAUCAGGAGGAACACCAAUGGCGAAGGCAGGUCUCUGGGCCAUUACUGACACUGAGGAGCGAAAGCGCGGGGAGCGAACAGGAUUAGAUACCCUGGUAGUCCGCGCCGUAAACGGUGGGCACUAGUUGUGGGAACCUUCCACGGUUUCCGCGACGCAGCUAACGCAUUAAGUGCCCCGCCUGGGGAGUACGAUCGCAAGAUUA